GAUGAAGAACGUGGCGAAAUGCGAUAAGUAAUGUGAAUUGCAGAAUUCAGUGAAUCAUCGAAUCUUUGAACGCACAUUGCGCCCAUUAGUAUUCUAGUGGGCAUGCCUGUUCGAGCGUCAUUUCAACCCUCAAGCUCUCUUGCUUGGUGUUGGGGCUUCUGCGGCUUCGGCCGCAGGCCCUGAAAAACAGUGGCGGGCUCGCUAUAACUCCGAGCGUAGUAAUCUCUCUCGCUUUGGAAGUGUGGCGGUUCCCGGCCGUUAAACCCCCCAAUUUCUGAAUGUUGACCUCGGAUCAGGUAGGAAUACCCGCUGAACUUAAGCAUAUCAAUAAGCGGAGGA
rnacentral:misc_RNA from 1 species